rnacentral:rRNA from 1 species
UACGGGGGGAGCAAGCGUUGUUCGGAUUUACUGGGCGUAAAGGGCGCGUAGGCGGUCAGCACAAGUCAGUUGUGAAAUCUCCGGGCUUAACUCGGAAAGGUCAACUGAUACUGUGCGACUAGAGUGCGGAAGGGGCAACUGGAAUUCUCGGUGUAGCGGUAAAAUGCGUAGAUAUCGAGAGGAACACCUGCGGCGAAGGCGGGUUGCUGGGCCGACACUGACGCUGAUGCGCGAAAGCCAGGGGAGCGAACGGG